CCCGGCCUCCAGCAGCAACGUGGGGAACUAUUCCCUGCCCAGACUGUGACAGGGCUCAGGUCCAUCUUAUUUCCAUCCUCUCCCUGCCCCUGGCAUCUCGUGCAGCUGGAUGGUUGUUGGCACCAAAGGCAGCAGGUGUGCUGGAGGAGGAAAAGGAAGAGGAAAAGACCUGAUUGCCGUGGAGCACAUUCCUCAUCCAUGGCAUCAUCCAGUUAAUAGAAUAAUUGGAUCUGCUGGAGGCAAGUUCAUCAAAUGUGGGAUGCACAAUGAAUCCACCACUCUGGGUUCUGUCUCUGAUUCACCACGUGCCAUGAAUCCUGCAAUUCAUCGCUGCCUGCAGCUUUCCUAACUUCCCUGGCAUUUGCAGGAAGGUGCAUGGUCACCCUGUGGAAGCAGAUCUCCAGGAGAACCAUCCACCUCAUCCCUGGUGAGCAGAUCCAGGUUCCUCCAGAUUUCCAGCAGGAUUUGCAGUGGGUGGUCACAGACUGGAGAGCUUGGCAGCUUUUUCAGUGGUGCGGUUUGCUGCAGGACCCACAUAUUUUUACCCUUGUACGGAAUAAUCACAUCCCGAUGAAAUCCAGGAUUUGUGCAGCCCAGCUGACUUUGCAAGUGCCACCACCCUUUGCAGCUGCCCAGACACCAGGCCUGGAUUUCCUGAUCCUCAUCCUCAGCUCUUGAUAUCCUCCUUCCUAAACCAGUCCUGAGCCAGAAGAGCACAUCUUGGAGGACAGCUCCCAAUACAUUUUUCCCAUACUGGGCAGCAGCUCCCACACCAGGGUGCCCUUAUCUCUGUACAUCCCUGUGCAGAGGGUCCUUGGCUGCCCCAGCCUGCCCUGAGUGCCCCACCUUGCUGAUGCAUCUGCAGCCUCCCUCAGGGAACAGGGGAGGCCCAGUGGAGCCUUUCCCCUCUCCCACCACCCGCUCUUGGAGUCUGAGGGAAGCUCAGUGCUCCUGGGAGGUUGGGAUGAGUCAGUGUUUGCACGUCCUGAGUCACUCCAGGGAGUUGCCAGAGAGGAGGGGGGGAUGCCCAGCCUCAUCUGGGGGUGUAAAUAUCCCAGGAAGUUCUGCCUGAAAGAAAAUUCCUAUUCAGUAUUCACCACCUUGUAGGGUUGCUUCCAGCAGGGCCACCACCAUGGACCAGAAGUGUCACUCCAUGAGAAAAAGUUAUUUCCUGGCCCUGCUUCCAUGUAGAAUCCUUUCAGAUGGCCCACAGCUGGUUAUCUGGGAGGGGUGCCACAUCCCCAACUCAUGGCUGUCCUUGGAAACUUCCUAGGACAUGCCCAGGGGUUCCUCUUGGCAGCUCCCUCAGAGCAAGUUUGUGGAACCAGGGCAUCCAAUACUCCAGGGAGGCCAUGGAGGAAUGCCAGGCACAUUCUCAAAGCAGGGCUUUUGGGAUGUCUUUUGAGUAGAAUGAAUUCCCAGUCCUCCCACUGAUUGCAAUUUUUAUGACUAUUUUUGGGCUUUUUUGAGCUGGAGAUGCUCCUGAGCUCAUGGAGGCUUUGGGAGUGGAUUGGCUCAGGAGUCCCUGGUGCUCAAAGCAGGUUUAAGAUUUAAAGGGGAGAGUGAACACCCUUGCUGACACUCCCACAGGCACCUUGUCCUCUGUGCCUUGAUGAACCCCCAGAGAACACCACAGGAUACUUCAAAUACACACCCGGGCUUUAGAUUUUUACCUCCAUUUCCACCUUGAAUGGGAUAAAUUCCCAGGUCAAGAAGAGCUGGAAGAACCACCCCAGGAUUUUCUCUUCUCAGAGUCCCUGCCUCUAACAUGAACUAAAUUUUCUGUGCUUGCUCAGAGCAGAGGCUGAGCAGGGAGUGAGGCCAGAAAAACAGGGGGUCAUGUCAGACUUUCUUUUUCUCUCCUCUUAACACUGAAAUAAAAAUACAUCCCAAGCUUGUUUUGGGAUUAACAAGAAAAAAUUCCUCUUGAUGGGAACCAUCUGUGGCCAGGAGAUGCCGGCUGUUCUCUGCUUCCCACCCUCACCCAGACGCUGUCAUUUGGGGUGUGUUCCUCUCCCAAAUAUUAUUCCUCUCAUCCCUGUGCUGGUGGGAGGAAUCCCAACUAUUUAAGGAGGCUUUUCUCCCAGCAUUUCAAAGCAGCAGCAGCUGGUGACACCUAUGGAGGAUAAUAUUUGCUCUCCUCAUUACAGCCCCAGCGCCCAGCACAGCUUGCUGGUGGCUGCUGGGCUCAGAGGGGAAGCACUGCAAGUGUCUUGGGUGUCACCUUUCCACCCCAGACGUCACCUCAGGGUCAAAGCAAACAUCUCGAGGCCUCUCUGGCCUGUCCCACAAACCAGGAGGGGAAAUCUGCCCUGAGGAGUGGAGAUUCCCUGGCUCUGCCUCUGCUGUGCUGGUGGAAAUGAGGGCGUUGGUGCUGGUCCCUUCAUGGUGUCUAGGAAUGAGGAUAUUUCUGGGGUGGACCUUGGCCCCAGCUGAAGUUUUGGGGUGGAAAAUGCUACUUCUGGGCUAGGCUGGGCUGGUAGUGGGAGGAUGAAGAGGUGCAUUUGCAGCAUCAGAAACUCCAGAGAGACUUGGAGCAGGGAGAAGCCUCUAAGACGAGGAAGAAGAGAGGAAGCUCAGAGUGAAUCCAGCAGAACCCAGGGAGGGUCUGGCUCAAGAGGAGAGGCUGAAAGAGUUUCUCUGCUCUCUCCAUGCAGCUGAGGAGGCUGCCUGGCUGAAAUGUCUCCUCCUGGGAUCAGCUCCUGGCAGGUUGAGCAGGAAGCUGGGAGCAAGACAAGCCCAACAGGUUCUGGGCUGUGAAACCUCCUGGAUGGCAGCACAUCCCUGGCCUGGGAUCCAAGGGCUGAACUGAAAUGGACCCAAAUGAGCAUUUUAGGGGCUUUCCCAAACCUGGCUGCAUGAAGGAUUUUGUGUGGGCCUUGACAUCUUCAGAGUGAUCCAGGCUUGGCUUGGGAGGUGGUUUGGAUUUAUUUGGAGAAUGGAGGGCAGGACAUUCAGGCCUUGCUUACCCUGCCCUCCUGCUUGUCCCUCAAUGUGGGGACCCCUCAGUUCCUGUACUCUGCCAGGACUGAGCUAAUCCUCACCUCUCCUCCAUGGAGCCCAGCAGGAGCUGGUUGGAGUGAAGGAUGCUGCUCCCUCCUUCCCCCUGGGGCUGGCACGAAGCAUCCCGGAGGCACUGGUGGAUUUUGUCCUCCAGCAGAUGAAGGCAGAAUGCUUUCCAUCUUUGAGGCUGGAAAAAUCCAUCCCACAGACACCCCCCAGGCUUGUCCCUGCAGCUGGGGGUGCAGCCCACGCUCCCAUCCCAGGAAUGUGGGAUGUUCUGGUGCUGCUUUGCCCAGCCCUGCUCUGACCACAGGCUGGGAACGGGCCUGGCUGCUCUCAGAAUAUUCCAUGGAUCUCUGAAUCCAUGGCUGUUGUAAGGUGCUCACCCAAAAGCUGGUGUUGUGAAAGGAGGACUCAUCUUUCCAAGAUCUUUUAACAAAUCCCUCCUGGUCCAAAGACACCCCAAAAUGCCAUUCUGGCUUUAACAAAGAAGGGUGUUUGUGCACAGUUACUGAUGCUUGGAAAGCUGAAUGCAGGUGCUGUGCUUCACCCAUCAAAAAGCAAUUUACAAAUAAAAUUUGUAGAAAUUUAUAUAAACUGCUGGAACAGCAUCAUGUAGAGCAACAUUAUAUUGUAACAGCAAGAAAAUUUGCUGGGUUUUUUUAUUGUUAUUUUAUUAGAAAUAGAGGGAAAUGGAUUCACAUAACAUUUUUCAGACUGUGAGGUUUUGAACUCUGGGGGUUUAAUUUCAGCAGUGUUUGUGCACACACGCUCCAUCUCAGGCAGGCUGAGCUGGGUUUUUCAUCCCCUGUGAUAGGGUCAAACCCCACAUUACCAUCCAAGAAAACUCUGGGAUGGAGAGGAUCAGAAAACUGAUUCUUCCCCUGACCUGGCUGAAUAACAGGGGCUUUGUUCAGGGAUCCAGGUCAGGGAUUUUAUUUCAGUACCUGCAAAGAAGCUAUGAGAAGAAUGCAGCAGGUUCCUCCCAGCCUGGAGAAAUGCAGAGAUAUCCCCAAAGGUGUUUAAUAUUAACUGGAGCAGGGCACAUCCCUGAAGGGCUUGAUUGUGAGCCUAUCUGUGUUUGUAUCCAAACAUCACCUGCAAAUUCCCAGCGUGGCCAGAGCUGGAGCAGGUGAAAGUCCUCCUGGAGGGAGCUGGAUCAAUACUGGGUUUGUCAAUAAAGAUCAUCCCGUGCUGGCACCAGGAAUGUGAGCCACAAGCCCAGACCUUCCUGUGCAGGCACAGAACAAAGGCCUCAGCCAAAAGGCUCUGAUGAAUGUGUUGGUGAAGAGAAGAGAGCUGGGUGGGCAGGGAGCAGAGGGAACAAAGCAGCCCUGUGUGCACGGGGCAGCCAGGGAGAACGCUGGGAUUUGCCUUCCAGGGUGGAUGUGAUGGCAGCUCCUCCAGCAAAGCCCACUGGGAUUUUGAUGCAAGCAAGGUUUGGCCUUCACACUCACCCUCUCUGACUCUUCUGGUCAGAUGUUAUCAGAAGCCUUUUUUUGGUAAGGCUCCUUCUCACAGGGCAGGGAAGUCUUGCAUAACAUAAUGAGAAAUAUAGUUCCAUCCUAGCUGUGUCAGCUGCAUUUGUUUAUUAAGUGGACUGCACUAGAAAAUUCUGUUAAACAAAGUUUAAUUUAAAACAAAUUAGUUCAGAGAUGCCCUGAAGUCCUCCCAAUACAUCUGGAAUCAUGGAAUCAUUAAAGCUGAAAAAGACCUCCAAGAUCAUCAGGUUUAAUCUUUGACCAAAUCCCAUCCCUAAACCAUAUUGUGAAGUAUCACAUCAACGUGAUUCUUUUCUAUGGGUUUUCCUUUUUCCACAGGAGAUUUGUGUUUAUCCUAAGCUUGAUACUGAGAGCAGGAGCUGGGGGUUAUGGAUGGCUUCAUUCCUUCCAACUGUGUAUUGAAUGUGGGGAAAAAUGCCAGCAAAUAAAAGGUCACCAGCUUGGGAUACAGGACCAACAGCUCCUGUUGGGAGCUGUGGGACCCUUUGUGGCAGUCACUGUCCUUGUCAGGACACUGCCCAGCUCCCCUCCAUCCAGAGGGCUCCGGAUGCACUGAACUGAUCCAUGAUUCUCCAGCCCUUUGAAGGGCUGUGGGGCCAGUCCAGGGCUUGUUUGCCCAAGACAAUGAUAUAGGGGAUCCUUUAGGGCUUCAAAGGGACAGGAGGGCACACAGGGUGCUCUUCAUCCUGAGAAACAUCAGUGGAGACAGACGUUCCUCACCUUGCCACUGGGUCACCACCACCCCAAAAACUGCUCCUGGCUCCUCCAGAUCUUCUCAGUUUUAUAUUUUUUGUAUUUAUUUCAUAUUUAUUUACCUGUUAUGACUGAGCCAUCCCUAUUUCCUCCCCCACAAUCUAAGAGUUCAAUGCAGUCAUCAGGGGAUGCUGAGGGUGACAGGGACCUGAUUUACCUGCUCCAAUAAUCCCUGCCACUGACUUUCCUCUUAUUUAUGUACAUCCCUCUUAUCUCCUGGAAGGGGUUGCUGGUUAACUCCCCCAGAG